CGGGGACGGGGCGUUGACCUCGUCCGGAGGAGGAGAGACGGGCGGAGUUUGGUCUAGCGAGCGCUGCUGGUUUGCUUGGGAGCCAGGCGCCCCCUAGUGUGGAGUGAGCAGGCCGACGGUUUCUCUGGUGCUGCGACAGUCGUCAUAGGACCCCGCGCUGGGAAUCUCCGCCAGGAGCUGGCUGGGAGAUUCAGUUCAGCUCAGUUGCUCAGUUGUGUCGACUCUGCGACCCCGUGAAUCGCAGCAUGCCAGACCUCCCUGUCCAUCACCAACUCCCGGAGUUUUCCUUAGGCUCUUCUUUGACUAAGAGAAUAAGGACCGUUAAGGGACCCUGUUGGCCUCUUUUGAAAUCAGGUAAUCUACAAAAGAAGCUGGUGCCCUUGAUCACAAUAUUAAACUUCUACCUGGCUCGUGAGUCAGUGAAGAUGAAGCAGGGAAGCUGAAUGGAAACUGAUGGAGUUGUCAACUGAACCACUGCCCUACAUCUACAAGCUUCUCCUGAUUUGCCUCAGAGACCAAAGAGGGAAUUCAAUUUGGAAAUUGCAAGGAUUUGGCACCAAAAGUGGGAGAGCAAACUGACAAAUGGAAAGCUUGGUCAAAAUAUACUGUCUUGUAAAGUCAUCUGCACAGUGAAAAAUUGCCAUCUGUAUGUCCAUUGGGUGGAUGCAAGUUGGUACUGUAGUUGAUUGUGUUUCCUUGACAAUAAAAAAGUCCUCAAAUGA